CACUCCUACGGGAGGCAGCAGUGGGGAAUAUUGGACAAUGGGCGCAAGCCUGAUCCAGCCAUGCCGCGUGAGUGAUGAAGGCCCUAGGGUUGUAAAGCUCUUUCACCGGUGAAGAUAAUGACGGUAACCGGAGAAGAAGCCCCGGCUAACUUCGUGCCAGCAGCCGCGGUAAUACGAAGGGGGCUAGCGUUGUUCGGAUUUACUGGGCGUAAAGCGCACGUAGGCGGACUAUUAAGUCAGGGGUGAAAUCCCGGGGCUCAACCCCGGAACUGCCUUUGAUACUGGUAGUCUUGAGUUCGAGAGAGGUGAGUGGAAGUCCGAGUGUAGAGGUGAAAUUCGUAGAUAUUCGGAGGAACACCAGUGGCGAAGGCGGCUCACUGGCUCGAUACUGACGCUGAGGUGCGAAAGCGUGGGGAGCAAACAGGAUUAGAAACCCGUGUAGUCCC
rnacentral:rRNA from 1 species